GAUGAACGCUGGCGGCGUGCUUAACACAUGCAAGUCGAACGGAAAGGCCCAAGCUUGCUUGGGUACUCGAGUGGCGAACGGGUGAGUAACACGUGGGUGAUCUGCCCUGCACUUCGGGAUAAGCCUGGGAAACUGGGUCUAAUACCGGAUAGGACCACAUUUUGGAUGGUGUGGUGGAAAGUUUUUCGGUGUGGGAUGAGCUCGCGGCCUAUCAGCUUGUUGGUGGGGUAAUGGCCUACCAAGGCGUCGACGGGUAGCCGGCCUGAGAGGGUGUACGGCCACAUUGGGACUGAGAUACGGAGCAGAAUCGUACGGGAGGCAGCAGUGGGGAAUAUUGCACAAUGGGCGCAAGCCUGAUGCAGCGACGCCGCGUGGGGGAUGACGGCCUUCGGGUUGUAAACUCCUUUCGCUAGGGACGAAGCGAAAGUGACGGUACCUGGAGAAGAAGCACCGGCUAACUACGUG
rnacentral:rRNA from 1 species